CACAGGCAGCCAUUUAAAACCAGAGGAGAGCCGUUGGUGCUGGUUAUUUCUGCGAAAGAGGAACCUUUAAUCACCUUCUAUUUAGAGGCUGAUUCCUCCAACUUCUCCAACACCUGAGUGAUUAAAGACAGUCCCAGCGGUCAUGGAGGCUCAUGCUGGACGGCGUGGCCAGGAGACGAGGUCACGUAUCAGGAGACACAAGGAUGCGCUCCUGUGGGAUUUCUCAAACUCUUCUGGCUGAACAGGAGCUGCAUCCAUCUACAAGCUUGGCGAUUGGACACUUUCAUCUCAGGCUGCACGUUUGAACAUCAAGUAUUCUCCUGAAUACUUCCCAUGUCGGUGGCUUGAAGAGCUCCAGAAGGAAAACUGGGGUCCCAUGACCGGAAAACCCUGCCAGUCCCUGAAGUUGCUGCUGCAGUCACGUAUCGCGCUCAAAGUUCAGCUUGGACCAGCUGUUGUGAAAGUCAGGUCCAAAAAUGAUAUCACCCAGAGCUGGAAAACAUUUAAUUUGGAUGUGCUUUCGGUAAAACAUUAAUCAACUUGUUAAGUGGCCGGCAGCAAACCUGAGAUUUAGGAAUCUUGUGCAUCAUGGGUGAAUCACUUAAAACUACAGCAAGUUACUUGAUGAUGGACUGACAGUCAUGUUUUAUGCUAAAUUAUGCUUUAGAAAGUCAUACAAAGACAUGACAAAUGUUUUAAUACCAAAUUGUAAUGUUUUUGGAAACCUUUUUUGACUUGUGUGUGUAGGUUGUACUCUAUUACUUGAGUUUGUUCAGUCAUAUUUGUAUUCUUACGCUGGCAAUGCUCUGGUCUGGAUGCAGCAUGCUGAUGACAAUGCAGUUAUAAUCAGUUUGAUGCAUGAUAUUUGGAUGUAGGAUGGCGAAGGUAUCAAAAUUAAA